rnacentral:rRNA from 1 species
AACGAACGCUGGCGGCAUGCCUAACACAUGCAAGUCGAACGAGACCUUCGGGUCUAGUGGCGCACGGGUGCGUAACGCGUGGGAACCUUCCCUUAGGUUCGGUAUAACUCCCCGAAAGGGGUGCUAAUACCGGAUAAUGUCUUCGGACCAAAGAUUUAUCGCCUUUGGAUGGGCCCGCGUUGGAUUAGCUAGUUGGUAGGGUAAAAGCCUACCAAGGCGACGAUCCAUAGCUGGUCUGAGAGGAUGAUCAGCCACACUGGGACUGAGACACGGCCCAGACUCCUACGGGAGGCAGCAGUGGGGAAUAUUGGACAAUGGGCGAAAGCCUGAUCCAGCAAUGCCGGGUGAGUGAUGAAGGCCUUAGGGUUGUAAAGCUCUUUUACCCGGGAUGAUAAUGACAGUACCGGGAGAAUAAGCUCCGGCUAACUCCGUG